UUUUGAUUUUAAUUUAAAGUUUAACCUGCCCAUUGAAAAUUUUUAAAAGGYUGCGGUAUUUUGACUGUACAAAGGUAGCAUAAUCAUUAGUUUUUUAAUUGAAAACUUGUAUGAAUGGUUGGAUGAGAAAUUAACUUUUUUAAAAAAAUAAUUGAAUUUUACUUUUUAAUUAAAAGGUUAAAAUAAAUUUAAAAGACGAGAAGACCCUAUAGAGUUUUAUAAUUUAUAUUUAAUAUUUAAAAAGAUUAAUUAAAAUUUUAUAAAAUAAAAUAUUUUGUUGGGGUGAUAAUAAAAUUUAAAUAACUUUUAUUUUUUUUUUACAUUAAUAUAUGAAUUUAUGAUCCAUUAUUGAUGAUUAGAAAUUUAAAUUACCUUAGGGAUAACAGCGUAAUUUUUUUUUAAAGUUCAUAUUAAUAAAAAAUUUUGCGACCUC
rnacentral:rRNA from 1 species